UGUCCGAUGGUGUAAUGGCAACACGUCUGAUUUUGGUUCAGAAGACUCCAGGUUCGAGUCCUGGUCGGACAA
rnacentral:tRNA from 1 species